rnacentral:rRNA from 2 species
CCUGGGGCUGGAGAAGGUCCCAAGGGUUGGGCUGUUCGCCCAUUAAAGUGGCACGCGAGCUGGGUUCAGAACGUCGUGAGACAGUUCGGUCCCUAUCUGUUGUGGGCGUUAGAAGCUUGAGAGGAUCUGACUUUAGUACGAGAGGACCGAGUUGGACGAACCUCUGGUGUACCUGUUGUGGUGUCAGCUGCAUUGCAGGGUAGCUAUGUUCGGAAGGGAUAAGCACUGAAAGCAUCUAAGUGCGAAACCCACCUCGAGAUGAGGCUUCUAUAUAAGGGUCGUCAGAGACGAUGACGUUGAUAGGCUGCAGGUGUAAAGUCAGAGAUGGCAAAGCUGAGCAGUACUAAUUACCCGAAAACUUCCA